GCCCCCUUAGCUCAACUGGAUAGAGCGUCCGCCUUCGAAGCGGCAGGUUGGUGGUUCGAGUCCGCCAGGGGGCA
rnacentral:tRNA from 2 species